rnacentral:rRNA from 1 species
AUUGAACGCUGGCGGCAUGCCUUACACAUGCAAGUCGAACGGUAACGGGCCUUCGGGUGCCGACGAGUGGCGCACGGGUGAGUAAUACAUCGGAACGUGCCCGAUCGUGGGGGAUAACGAGACGAAAGCUUUGCUAAUACCGCAUACGAUCUACGGAUGAAAGCAGGGGACCGCAAGGCCUUGCGCGGACGGAGCGGCCGAUGGCAGAUUAGGUAGUUGGUGGGAUAAAAGCUUACCAAGCCGACGAUCUGUAGCUGGUCUGAGAGGAUGAUCAGCCACACUGGGACUGAGACACGGCCCAGACUCCUACGGGAGGCAGCAGUGGGGAAUUUUGGACAAUGGGCGCAAGCCUGAUCCAGCCAUGCCGCGUGCAGGAUGAAGGCCUUCGGGUUGUAAACUGCUUUUGUACGGAACGAAAAGCCUUCUUUUAAUACAGGAGGGUCAUGACGGUACCGUAAGAAUAAGCACCGGCUAACUACGUG